UUGAUAGUGUUUGACGUGGAAUUUGGGC
rnacentral:piRNA from 1 species